AGAGGAGUGAAGCAGACAGCUUCUUUUCUUUCUUUCUUUCUUGCAUCUUACAAAAACAAGAUCGAGGGUGAGGAACUCAGUGUGAGGGAAAAAAAAAGAUUAGCAAGCUGUAUCAUCAGCUAAACAAAGUCGAGAGAAUACUGUCAGUGGGCAAAGGAAACUGGAGCUAAGAGUGAGGAACUAGAACCAGAAAUUUUAGCAGCCGGCAACAUCGAAUUCUUAGGAGAAAAGGGUAAGAACCUACACUUAUUUUCAGUUUCUUCGGUAUAACUGGAAUAAUACAUGAGCUGCAUGUGAAUUUAGCAAAGAAAAUAAGUUCUUAGCUAAGAUAAAAUUCUGUUUUGAAAGGAAUGAAACUAACGGACAGAGAUGGAGAGAAUUGGGAGUUGUUGUUUGAAUUUCAGCCUAUAAGUGAUGGAAAAUUUAUGUGAUAAUCUCUUAAUCACCUAAUACACUUGAAUACGUAUGUUGUAUGAUAGUUUUUAGCCAAGAAAAGUGAG
rnacentral:lncRNA from 1 species